GGAUUGUAACUCAGUUGGUAGAGCGCUUGAUGAAUUAAUUAAUCAAGAGGUCGCAGGUUCGAGACCUGUCAUCUA
rnacentral:tRNA from 1 species